rnacentral:rRNA from 1 species
UGGACGAAAGUCUGACGGAGCGACGCCGCGUGGAUGACGAAGGCCGUGAGGUUGUAAAAAUCCCUUUUUGUCGGGGAAGAAUAAGCAUGGGAGGGAAUGCCCGUGCGAUGACAUGAACCGGCGAAUAAGCCCCGGCUAACUACGUGCC